UGGGGAAUAUUGCGCAAUGGGCGAAAGCCUGACGCAGCGACGCCGCGUGAGGGAUGAAGGUUUUCGGAUCGUAAACCUCUGUCAGAAGGGAAGAAGUGGGUAUAUGCUAAUAUCAUGUACCUUUGACGGUACCUUCAAAGGAAGCACCGGCUAACUCCGUGCCAGCAGCCGCGGUAAUACGGAGGGUGCAAGCGUUAAUCGGAAUCACUGGGCGUAAAGCGCUCGUAGGCGGCUUUGUAAGUCGGGGGUGAAAUCCCACAGCUCAACUGUGGAACUGCCUUCGAAACUACAUUGCUUGAGUGUCGGAGAGGAUGGCGGAAUUCCAGGUGUAGGAGUGAAAUCCGUAGAUAUCUGGAGGAACACCGGUGGCGAAGGCGGCCAUCUGGACGAUGUCUGACGCUGAGGAGCGAAAGCGUGGGGAGCAAACA
rnacentral:rRNA from 1 species